rnacentral:sRNA from 1 species
CUGACUGACAGGUGGCCUUUUUAUCUACAGAACAGAUGCAGCACAGGCAACAACAGUGCACUAGCUCUUGCCAAAGUGCCUGGAGGGGCCAGCUCUGAGGAAGCAAGAGAGGUUGAGAGUGAGAGAGAGAGACAGGAGAAGGACACUCAAUCCAUUCAGUCCUUGGCCUCA